rnacentral:tRNA from 2 species
CGGGGUGUAGCUCAGCCUGGUAGAGCACUGUCUUCGGGAGGCAGGGGCCGUGAGUUCGAAUCUCGCCACCCCGACCA